rnacentral:lncRNA from 1 species
AUGCAGUGGAGUUUGCACUUUGGGGUCAGUGCUGAGCCGGUAACAAAGGCAAGCAAACAGUGGCUGAUAAGGGCAGGUUUCGCAGUUUCCUUAACAACUCCCAAGGACUCGCUGCCUUCCAGCCUCGGCACCUUCCCGGAUGGCUGCAGGCUGGAUCCAGCCCUGCCUCUGCCCGGGGAGCUGCGAGGAGCAGGGCAAGGCGAGGAGGGUGCCGUGCCAGCCCGACGGGUGCCUCCGCACCUUGGCUUCCUCCCUGGCCACAACAAGGAGGGAGCGUGGUCAUCGCGGGUCAAGGACGAAGCCCAGGGCUCAGCUUCAAAGCGGCCGGGACUCAUUAAGGCCAUCUCACCCCGUGAUAAUGGGCGCAGGGAUGCCGUGAUGGUGAAACGAGCUAUGCAGCUUGGGGAGGUGCCCUACUGCCCUGCGUGCCGAGGCCACGACUGCUGGGCCAGGCUGAGGUGGGUAUCUUCAUCCUCUGCGCUCCUCCUCCUCGCUCCAGGCACCUGGCACAGCCCCUGCCUCUCAUCCGCUGCUAGCCCGGUGGGCAGCCACUCUGCAAAUCACCUUCUGGGGCCUGCGCCACAGCCCUCGGAGCCACACGAAAGCUCCUCUGCUCCUCAAACGCAGCCUCAGGGAGCCGAGAGCGAGCCUACCUCUCCUUGCUGGGAGCAGAAGGCAAUGCUGGGAGCAGGAGAGCUCAGCAGCCGAGCUCUGUGGCGAAGGCAGGCCCGAGGGAGCAGCUUGCAAGGGGCUGGGGAGCGGAAACGAUGCCGCCAGGCCGGGCUGGGGUGCAAGAGGAGAGUGGGAUUUCCCACGUCGGCAUCCACAGAAGUCUCCUCAAUUGUGUCUGCUCACAACAGGCAACCGUGGGGCAGCCGAGCUGCUUCCUGCUCCGGAGCCGCGAGGAAGCGCAUCCAGCUGCGGCCGCCAGCUGCACGAACUCCUCCUGCUGCCCGCAGCCCUGGGGAACCCGCUGGGCCGAAGGACACAGCCUCGCUUCUCUGCGAUCCCACAGCCUCAGGGCUUGGCCACUGCGCCGCCUUCCCACGAGCCGACAGCCCGUCUCCCAGGCAGAUGCUGUGUCAGCCCGGCUGGCCUCAGUGCUUAGCAGGGGCGAAAAAGAGACUCGGGUUGAGCCACAGGGGUGGGGAGGACGGCACGGGCUCCACGCCGAGCUCCCCGCGCUCCUGCUAA